rnacentral:tRNA from 1 species
GGCCCUAUAGUCUAGUGGCAAAACAGCUCGUUUACACCGAGCGGUCCGCAGUUCGAUUCUGCGUGGGGCCA